rnacentral:rRNA from 1 species
UACGGAGGGGGCUAGCGUUGUUCGGAUUUACUGGGCGUACAGGGAGCGUAGGCGGUUGGAUAAGCCCUCCGUGAAAUCUCCAGGCUUAACCUGGAAAGUGCAGAGGGGACUGUUCAGCUAGAGGAUGGGAGAGGAGCGCGGAAUUCCCGGUGUAGCGGUGAAAUGCGUAGAGAUCGGGAGGAAGGCCGGUGGCGAAGGCGGCGCUCUGGAACAUUUCUGACGCUGAGGCUCGAAAGCGUGGGGAGCAAACAGG